rnacentral:rRNA from 1 species
UACGGGAGGCAGCAGUGGGGAAUAUUGCACAAUGGGCGAAAGCCUGAUGCAGCUAUGCCGCGUGUAUGAAGAAGGCCUUAGGGUUGUAAAGUACUUUCAUCGGGGAGGAAAAAACAAAACUAAUAAUUUUAUUUCUUGACGUUACCCGAAAAAGAAGCACCGGCUAACUCCGUGCCAGCAGCCGCGGUAAUACGGAGGGUGCUAGCGUUAAUCAGAAUUACUGGGCGUAAAGGGCACGCAGGCGGUUAAUUAAGUUGGAUGUGAAAUCCCCGGGCUUAACCUGGGAAUGGCAUUCAAGACUGGUUAGCUAGAGUCUUGUAGAGGGGGUUAGAAUUCCAUGUGUAGCGGUGAAAUGCGUAGAGAUGUGGAGGAAUACCGGUGGCGAAGGCGGCCCCUGGACAAAGACUGACGCUCAUGUGCGAAAGCGUGGGGAGCAAACAGGGAUUAGAUA